UCCUCAAGGAAAAAAAAAAAAGUAUUUCUCAAGUAAUGUUGUAAACUGUACACGGGAUGGGAACUGAUUAUUAUUAAGGUUAAAAUGAACUGAUGUAUACUAUCGCAUAUAAGGCAGUUUUUAUAAUAAUAAUAAUAGGGCUGCUGCAACAACUAAUUGAUAAAAUCGACAAUAAUCGAUAAUGAAAAUCAUGGACAACGAUUGUCAUUAUCGAUUAGUCACGUCUGCCCACCGUUCACAGAAUACGUCCGCCAGUCGCGCCAAAUUACAGCAACGAAUAAUGCACUUACUAUGGACAAAAUGCAUCUAAAAAUAGUGGAGGAAACAGAGCGAGCUGUUGCGGGAAAGUUGAAACUGAUUGGGCGAUUACAUGAGACAUGAGACUUUUCAAGAUGACACAUAAGAGCAUGAGAGAGAGAGAACUGACUGAAGAGACAGACUGAGGGGAGAGAUAGCGAGGCGAGGGACCAGCAGAUGGCAGGCUGGCUUGGAUUGGUCAUGGUUGGACGAGCCAUUGAGCUGACCUCAGAUGGCAUGAACUGUAUCCAAAGGAAAGAGAACAGGCAAGACAGGAAGACGCUUCAGUUCCCUUAACCCCUGCUUCCUGAAAAGAGACAUCCAAGAAGACACAGGCCGUAUAAUGCCGAGGGUCUGUGUUCUAUCAGGUCCUCUCCCACUCUAGACACUGAAGGGCUGUCAAUCGACACGGCGGGUCACGCAGGUGC